UUCAAAACACAUAAAAGAUGUUAGGAAUCCACACUUACCUCUUGAAGAUCUUGAGGAUAGGUGAUCCUAACGUGGAGAUAUGGAGGAAUCUUCUCUCAAAGUCUCCAAACUUCAAAACCUUGGUCUUUUGCUCAAAAACUUCAAAAUAACACAAAAUCUCAUCAAAACUUUGAAAGAUUUGAGAAAAUAUGAAAACUCACCCAAGGAAGAUCAUGGUCUCACCUCAGCUCGUGCAAAUGGAAAUAAAAUCUUAUCCAUUCACCGACCUAGGGCCUUUUAUAGGUGGCUGGCCAGACCACCUUCGGCG
rnacentral:lncRNA from 1 species